rnacentral:rRNA from 1 species
AGAGUUUGAUCAUGGCUCAGAUUGAACGCUGGCGGCAUGCCUUACACAUGCAAGUCGAACGGCAGCACGGGGGCAACCCUGGUGGCGAGUGGCGAACGGGUGAGUAAUACAUCGGAACGUGUCCUGUAGUGGGGGAUAGCCCGGCGAAAGCCGGAUUAAUACCGCAUACGCUCUACGGAGGAAAGGGGGGGAUCUUAGGACCUCCCGCUACAGGGGCGGCCGAUGGCAGAUUAGCUAGUUGGUGGGGUAAAGGCCUACCAAGGCGACGAUCUGUAGCUGGUCUGAGAGGACGACCAGCCACACUGGGACUGAGACACGGCCCAGACUCCUACGGGAGGCAGCAGUGGGGAAUUUUGGACAAUGGGGGAAACCCUGAUCCAGCAAUGCCGUGUGUGUGAAGAAGGCCUUCGGGUUGUAAAGCACUUUUGUCCGGAAAGAAAUCCUCUUCGCUAAUACCGAGGGGGGAUGACGGUACCGGAAGAAUAAGCACCGGCUAACUACGUGCCAGCAGCCGCGGUAAUACGUAGGGUGCAAGCGUUAAUCGGAAUUACUGGGCGUAAAGCGUGCGCAGGCGGUUCGCUAAGACAGAUGUGAAAUCCCCGGGCUUAACCUGGGAACUGCAUUUGUGACUGGCGGGCUAGAGUAUGGCAGAGGGGGGUAGAAUUCCACGUAGCAGUGAAAUGCGUAGAGAUGUGGAGGAAUACCGAUGGCGAAGGCAGCCCCCUGGGCCAAUACUGACGCUCAUGCACGAAAGCGUGGGGAGCAAACAGGAUUAGAUACCCUAGUAGUCC